rnacentral:lncRNA from 1 species
GCGGUGGCUCGGACUCGGCCAGCCGCAAGGAGGGGAAAAGGACUUCGGCGCAUGUGGCGGGAGAAGGAUGGAGGAUUGGCUGGCUCGGCUGGACCAGCCCGGGAGGGGGAGGAGAGCGCGCGAGGAGGGAACAGAGGUGGGCCGACCCGAGGGGAAAGGAAGGGAAAGGGAAAAAAAAGAGAAAAAGAAAAGGAAAAGGGGAAUUGGGCUGUGGCCCAAACCCAGAAAAAGAAAAGAAAAAGAAAAGAAAGAGGGGA